GACGAACGCUGGCGGCGUGCUUAACACAUGCAAGUCGAGCGAUGAAGCUCUUUCGGGAGUGGAUUAGCGGCGGACGGGUGAGUAACACGUGGGUAACCUGCCUCAUAGAGGGGAAUAGCCUUCCGAAAGGAAGAUUAAUACCGCAUAAGAUUGUAGCUUCGCAUGAAGCAGCAAUUAAAGGAGCAAUCCGCUAUGAGAUGGACCCGCGUCGCAUUAGCUAGUUGGUGAGGUAACGGCUCACCAAGGCGACGAUGCGUAGCCGACCUGAGAGGGUGAUCGGCCACAUUGGGACUGAGACACGGCCCAGACUCCUACGGGAGGCAGCAGUGGGGAAUAUUGCACAAUGGGGGAAACCCUGAUGCAGCAACGCCGCGUGAGUGAUGACGGUCUUCGGAUUGUAAAACUCUGUCUUCAGGGACGAUAAUGACGGUACCUGGGGAGGAAGCCACGGCUAACUACGUGCCAGCCGCCGCGGUAACAC
rnacentral:rRNA from 1 species